UUUACUGUGAGCAGGAGCAGAAAAAUGGGGCAAAGUAGAGUUCAAACCUUUUAUAAGGCGGGAAAUAUUGUUGUAGUUGUCUAUGGUUACCAAUAAGUAUCCCCAAAACUUAGUGCCUUAAAGCAAUGGUUAUUCUAUUCCAUGAUUUUUGAGGGUCAGGAAUGUGUCAUAGAGGGGCUGGAUGAUUCUUUUGUUCCAUAUAGCACUGACUGGUGGUCAGUAUUCACUGGUAGUAUUCAGCUGUUAAAUGGGCUGGUUUUGAGGCUUCAAGGUGGUUUGACUCAUGGGUCUGGCACCUGGGUAAGGCUGACUAGAGGGCUGGGUUCUGCUGAGACCGUCAACUGGAGUGCCUAAUUGUGGCCUCCCUAAUAUGGUGGCCUCGGGGCUCCAAAAGGGAAUAUCCUGUGAACAAAACAGAAGCUACAUGGCCUUUGUGACCUACAGUUAGAAGUCACAUAGCAUUAUUUUGCUGUCCUCUAUUGGUCAAUCCAGCCACAAGCCUACUCAGGUUUAAGGGAUGGGGACAUAAAUCCCAUCUCUUGAUGGUAAGACAUCCAGAGAAUUUGUAGCUAUGUUUAAAAACCCGCAUAGACAGAGAACAUGUUUACAGUCUGGAUAGGAAUGUACCAGGAGAUGGGGAGAGGUGAAUGAUGCCAAAGAGAGGAGAAAAACUUCAGGAAUCAAAUCCUUUGGAGGUCAUGAAGGGACUCAGAAGGCUAGGGAUUGGGCAUUUUUCCACCUAGGGCAGAAGGGAAGAAUGACAUCAUGAGAAGAUGAAGCUCUUCCCAUCUGGUGACAUCACUGUGCUCAGUAACUAACGUACAGGUCAUUAUGCUACAAAUCAUCAGCUCAUGGGGAGCCAAGAGGAGUAGUCCUAGAAGCAGAGGGGAUGCAUUUAAAGAGUGGAAUUCUAAAGAGCAACAGCAGGUCCAUGCUCCGUGGGGAAGAGGAUCUGCAGGCAGGCUGCCAUGUGGAAACCAAUGAAAUUGAGAGGUUCCUCUGGAAGUCUCCGGACACUCUCAGCGUGACAUCUUUCUGCUCCUCCUCAUUUGGAUCGUCAACUCUGACAAUGAGCUCCCAAGAAGCAGAUACAAAGUCGCUGGAUGAGAGCAUCGUGGCAAAGGCGGGUAUCUGCCACACAAAAAAAGCAGACACAGAUUAGAAUGUGAGAAGGAAA